CUGAAGAGCCGUGCUAGACCAGCACGUCAAUAGGUGGCAUGUGGAAGCGCGGCAACGCGUGAAGCUAAGCCAUACUAAUCGCUCGUCCGGCUUGAUCACU
rnacentral:rRNA from 1 species